UACGAAGGGGGCUAGCGUUGCUCGGAAUCACUGGGCGUAAAGGGUGCGCAGGUGGGUUUGCAAGUUCGAUGUGAAAGCCCCCGGCUCAACUGGGGAGGGUCACGCGAUACUGAUCGACUGGAAGGCAGGAGAGGGUAGUGGAAUUCCCGGUGUAGUGGUGAAAUGCGUAGAUAUCGGGAGGAACACCAAUGGCGAAGGCAGCUCUCUGGGACGGUACUGACGCUGAGACGCGAAAGCGUGGGGGAGCGAACAGG
rnacentral:rRNA from 1 species